rnacentral:rRNA from 1 species
GAUGAACGCUGGCGGCGUGCCUAAUACAUGCAAGUCGAGCUAACGGACGAGAAGGUUGGUGCUCGGAUGUUAGAGGCGUACGGGAGAGUAACACGUGGAUAAGCUACCUAUAGGACUGGGAUGACUUCGGGAAACCGGAGGUAAUACUGGAAAAGAUUUUGAAUGGAAGGGAUAAAAAGUGAGAGACGGUCUUGCGGUCACUUAGAGAUUGAGCGGGGCUGCAUUAGCUAGUGGGUAAGGUAACGACUUAGCAAGGGAACGAUGCCUAGCAGACCUGAGAGGGUGAUCGGCCACACUGGAACUGAGACACGCUCCAGACUCCUACAGGCGCCAGCCGUACUGCAUCUUCCGCAAUCGGCGAAAGAUUGACGGCGCAACGCCGCGUGAGUGAUGAAGGUCUUCUGAUUGUACAACUAUGUUAUUCGGGAAGAACAUAUGUGUCAGUAACUGUGAACAUCUUGACGGUACCUACUCAGAAAGCGACGGCUAACUACGUG